rnacentral:lncRNA from 1 species
GUGUCUGGAAUUGGUGGGUUCUUGAUCUCACUGACUUCAAGAAUGGAGACGUGGCCCCUCGUGGAAUGUUAGAAUUCUUAAAGAUGGUGUGUCUGGAGUGCGUUCCUUCAGAUGUGUCUGCUGUUUCUUCCUCCUAGUGGGUUCAUGGUCUCGUUGAUUUCAAGACCCAAGCUGCAGACCUUCAAGGCUCUCCUUUGAUAUCGAACAGGAAAGCUUUGGAGCAAAGUUCCUCAACCGUGCUGAGCCAACAGUGGUUCCAGUGGAUGCAGCAAUGUGAGUUAGGAUAAAGAUCUGAAGAUAAAAGAGG